AACGAACGCUGGCGGCAUGCCUAACACAUGCAAGUCGAACGAGACCUUCGGGUCUAGUGGCGCACGGGUGCGUAACGCGUGGGAACCUGCCCUUAGGUUCGGAAUAACUCCCCGAAAGGGGUGCUAAUACCGGAUAAUGUCUUCGGCCCAAAGAUUUAUCGCCUUUGGAUGGGCCCGCGUUGGAUUAGCUAGUUGGUAGGGUAAAAGCCUACCAAGGCGACGAUCCAUAGCUGGUCUGAGAGGAUGAUCAGCCACACUGGGACUGAGACACGGCCCAGACUCCUACGGGAGGCAGCAGUGGGGAAUAUUGGACAAUGGGCGAAAGCCUGAACCAGCAAUGCCGCGUGAGUGAUGAAGGCCUUAGGGUUGUAAAGCUCUUUUACCCGGGAUGAUAAUGACAGUACCGGGAGAAUAAGCUCCGGCUAACUCCGUG
rnacentral:rRNA from 1 species